rnacentral:misc_RNA from 1 species
CCUGGUGUGGAGUGUGGACUGUGGUGUAUGUCUGUCUGUUUGUGUCUCUGUGUCUGAGUAGAUCUUUUUUCUUUCUUCAAGUUGAACUUCUUCUGUUACUCCGAGCGAUUAGCCUUCAUUCCUUCCUUCUUUGAUUUAGCUUAGCUUGAAUCCUCUCUCUUGGAGACAGUCUAGACUGUGAGAAGGGAGAUUUAAGUGAAGAUAGUGAUUCCCGAGAUUGGAGAGCCAGGAUUGAUUGUAGAGUGCUGAAAGUGGGUCGUAGGUAAAGAAAGAGAGGAGAAGAUAAAGAAGGAGGAGUAGCCAGUAGCCAGUAGCCAGUAGCAGAAGACAGGAAGAAUGGCUUGUGUUACUCUUAAACGUCCCUGCGAUUUUGAUCCUUUACACUCACCCAAUCGACCUCCCACUAAAAGACCUCGAAGAUGUCUUCCCAUGCCGCGCCAAUCCUUGGAGACUUCUUCAUCGCUCAUGGCUUCCCCCUCCUCGAGGGAGUGCAACUCCGUGUUCCGGGAGUCUCCUUUGUCAGCUGGCGAAAUUGCCAAUAACCUACGAGAUGAACUCAAAAGAUUAAAGAGACGGCGUCAACUCGCGCCAUCGGAACAACAAAGCAUGAUGGAGCCACAGAGUCCAUCCUCUCUCAGUAACACACCUUCCUCGCCCUCGGCUCCCUCAUCCCCCAGGGAGAAGCCCAUCUUCACUCUUAAGCAGAUGACUCUCAUUUGUGAGCGGAUGUGCAAAGAACGUACGGAUCAAGUUCGUGAAGAGUAUGAUAAAAUUUUACAUCAAAAGUUAACUGAACAAUACGACGCAUUCGUCAAAUUUGUUGAUCACCAAAUUCAGCAGCGAUUUAACGACUCCCAAACUCCGAGUUAUUUGUCCUAAAGUUAUUUGAUAUCUUUGUAAAAUGAUAAAGUGGGACUUUUUUUCAACCUCAAUUUAAAAAAAUAUAAUGUGUGCUUUUUAGCGUUUUUUUGUUCCUUUAGGAUUAACUAUUUUCGGAGAGACUGACUCAUCCCCAUUCAAUUUUAUAAUAUUUUGUUUGCCCCACUUUUUUCAUUUUUUUAUAAUGAAAAUUUUAACGAAAGAUCUAAUGUCCUUAAUGUAUUUCAUCAUAAGUGAAAUCCUGGAAAAUAUAUGCAAAAUUCUUUUCUAAAA